GUGAAAGUAGAUGUCGCCGCCAUUUUGUGUGGUUGGUAAACUGUGGUUUGUGUCCAAAUAAUUAGACGACACCAAACGCAAAGCCUAUCCCAAGGCAAUGCCCCAUUUGCGUGGUAAAGGGCAAGACGACUAUGUACCUCCAGGUAGCAGACCAGGUUCGCUGGGUGCAAGCACUGACGGCAGAACCCAUGAAGCCGUUAAUGUCAGAGGCACGUGCUAAGACCGGGCGGAAAGUGAAGAAGACAAAGCCGAGGAAUUACUACUCUUGCUGGCUGUGCGACCGGUCGGUGAUUGACCGGCUGCGUCAUCUAGAACAGGACCACAAAAUGGAGGCUGGGACAUUCAAUAACGUUUACACAAGAGGGCCGUUUCCGGAAGGUCACAAAAACUUAAGGAAAGGUGACCAGCAGACUCGCCACUCAUGAUGACUCGGCAUAGGAGGAUGAGAAGGUGGAGGAUGAGGAGGAGGAGGAAGAGGACUUUUAGUUCCUAACGCGGAAAUACUGCCUGAGCCUGGAACCCAAUGCAAGGGUAAUGCAUGGUCGGAGAAGCUGCAAGUAACAAUAUGGAUUGCUUAUAUAGUGUAAAGUCUCGAGUCCGUUUACGGGGUAGAACCAGUACUUGGUGCAUUAAGCCCUGUUUUCCCAGAUUUUUUUUAAUUAUAUACAUUUCAAUUGAUAGUCAUUAUUAUUGCAACAUGUAUAUAUCUUAAAAACCGUGAGGAAAUAUAUAUAAGUACAUUAAAAUUUAAGAUAAAUAUUAUUUAUUUAUAAUACUUUGGAAUUACUGGUUGUGAGUUAAUUAUAUGCGAUUUCACCAUCUAGCAUAGAAUAUCAUCCAAUAAUACUUGUUGCAGUUUCAAUCGUUGACUCAUAUGUAGGCUACAUGUUCCCGCUGAGCAGGCCAGGUGGGUUGACAAACGAGUCGAAAACACAAGAGGUCAACAUGAAGAUCAACCGGUUCCUGGCCCUGUCUGGCUACUUGGAAGGAGUGGUGUUGAGUGACGUGCUGUUGUGGAAGGGCCAUAUGGAGGUCCACGACAGUUCCUCAACACCACUCACCAGCUGAAGACGGUGCAGACUGCACUAACGGCAAUCAAGAACUUCCUGAAGUGGUGCGAGGGAAUGGUCUAGCGGACGCCCGCGCAUUGAACAAUGCCGAUCUCCUUCUCACAGGCUGCCUGACCUCAACCCGCCUGGAUAUUAGCCGUCGGUUAUUCGGAGGGUAGAGGACAGUGCGGCCAUCCUGACGGACGCAAACCUGGAGCGCCACUUCACUGAGAGUGAGCAUGUAGUGAAAACGAUCAAGGUGAUCCAGGAGACCCCGCUGGCACACCUGAAAGAUAUUCGGGGGAUAAUUAUUAAACUGAUAGCGCUCUAUAACGCCUCCUGAACCGGCAGGUAGGAGUACCUAAAGAUUGAGCAGGAGACAGUGAAGGUGCUGACCUCUGUGUGGAACACUUAGCAGCUGGCAAGUUUUCAUAUUGAAGGGCAUGGUUCCCAACCGCCCAUCACACACAGAAUGUAGCUUGUCGUCUUCCGCAGUAAAAACUGUGUUCCAGACGGCUGGUGAUGCAUUUCAAGAAAAGCCAUCAGAAUCUUGCAAUGAUCUGUAUACUUAAUAAAUGACAAAACAACAA